rnacentral:rRNA from 1 species
CAGUCGCCACGGGAAUACGGAGGGUGCAAGCGUUAAUCGGAAUUACUGGGCGUAAAGCGUGCGUAGGCGGUGAGUUAAGUCUGCUGUGAAAUCCCCGGGCUCAACCUGGGAAUGGCAGUGGAUACUGGCUCGCUAGAGUGUGUCAGAGGAUGGUGGAAUUCCCGGUGUAGCGGUGAAAUGCGUAGAGAUCGGGAGGAACAUCAGUGGCGAAGGCGGCCAUCUGGGACAACACUGACGCUGAGGCACGAAAGCGUGGGGAGCAAACAGGAUUAGAUACCCCAGUAGUCCCUGUCUCUUAUAC